rnacentral:rRNA from 1 species
UACGAAGGUGGCAAGCGUUGUUCGGAUUUACUGGGCGUACAGGAGCGUAGGCGGUUGGAUAAGCCCUCCGUGAAAUCUCCAGGCUUAACCUGGAAAGUGCAGAGGGGACUGUUCAGCUAGAGGAUGGAAGAGGGUCGUGGAAUUCCCAGUGUAGAGGUGAAAUUCGUAGAUAUUGGGAAGAACACCGGUGGCGAAGGCGGCGACCUGGUCCGAUACUGACGCUGAGGCGCGAAAGCGUGGGGAGCAAACAGGAUUAGAUACCCCGUGUAAGUC